CAUCCCUUCCACCCUGCCAUUCCCUGGUCCUUUGGGCUCAGAUAUGGCUGUUCCUGAUCCUGCAGGAGAAAAGGAUGGUCUGGGCUCUGAGGAUGCCUGUUCAGAAGAGCCUGAGCCAGAGGGAGAGAGCCUGAGGGCCUGGAAAGGAAUGUCAGGGGAGUGACCACAUCUGUGGCAACCAGGCCUGUGUCCUGUCAGGACUCUGCACCUGUACUUGCUCUUUGUUCCAAAGAUGCUGUUCCACACAGUCCUCAGUCCUGGUGUACCUCUUCGUUGUGGCUAGAUUGAAACACACUGGGUAGCACUUUGCUAAAUGAAAAGUCCACACUAAUUCAGACAGCAAAGGCAUUUGUCAAGGGACCAAGUGGACUGGCACCCAAAAAAAUGACUCUGCCCGUCCUGUCUGGCUGGUCAGCUACCCCAAGG